UACGAAGGGGGCUAGCGUUGUUCGGAAUUACUGGGCGUAAAGCGCGCGCAGGCGGCUAUCCAAGUCAGUGGUGAAAGCCCGGAGCUCAACUCCGGAACUGCCAUUGAAACUGUUUAGCUUGAGGACGAGAGAGGUGAGUGGAAUUCCCAGUGUAGAGGUGAAAUGCGUAGAUAUCGGGAGGAACACCAGUGGCGAAGGCGACUACCUGGCCUGUUCUUGACGCUGAGGCGCGAAAGCUAGGGGAGCAAACGGG
rnacentral:rRNA from 1 species